GACGAACCGUGCAAACGUUAUUCGGAAUCACUGGGCUUAAAGGGCGCGUAGGCGGGUCAGCUAGUCUGCGGUGAAAUCCUCCAGCUUAACUGGAGAACUGCCGUGGAUACUGCUGACCUCGAGGAGGGUAGGGGCAUCUGGAACAGCCGGUGGAGCGGUGAAAUGCGUUGAUAUCGGCUGGAACUCCGGUGGCGAAGGCGAGAUGCUGGACCCUUUCUGACGCUGAGGCGCGAAAGCCAGGGGAGCGAACGGG
rnacentral:rRNA from 1 species